GCCGGUCUGGCGUAGGCGGUCCGCGCGCCUGUUUGAAGCACAGGAGGACCCGGUUCGACUCCGGGGGCCGGCA
rnacentral:tRNA from 4 species